ensembl:snRNA U6 U6 spliceosomal RNA
GUGCUUGCUUCAGUAGCAUAUGUACUAAAACUAAAAUGAUACAGAGACUAGCAUGGUUCCUGCACAAGGAUCGCAUGCAAAUCUGUGAUGUGUUCCACAUAUUA